GGUUGGUGAUGGAACCACUACAGUUGUUCUGCUUGCAGGAGAAUUUUUAAAGGAAGCCAAGCCUUUUGUCGAAGAGGGUGUCCACCCUCAAAAUCUUAUUCGUAGUUAUCGAACCGCUUCUAAUAUGGCAAUCGAGAAGGUAAAAGAAUUGGCUGUUAGCAUAGAGGGAAAAAGUUUGGAAGAAAAGAAAAGUCUGCUUGCAAAGUGUGCUGCUACAACUCUGUCAUCAAAGCUCAUUGGAGGGGAAAAGGAAUUCUUUGCAUCCAUGGUUGUGGAUGCUGUUCUUGCAAUCGGAACUGAUGAUAGGCUGAACAUGAUCGGAAUUAAGAAGGUCCCUGGAGGUACUAUGCGGGAUUCUUUCCUUGUAAAUGGUGUUGCCUUUAAGAAGACAUUUUCCUAUGCUGGUUUUGAACAGCAGCCAAAGAAGUUUGUAAACCCCAAGAUACUUUUACUGAACAUAGAGUUGGAGCUAAAAUCAGAAAAAGAAAAUGCAGAGAUAAGGCUCUCAGAUCCAGCGCAAUAUCAGUCAAUUGUUGAUGCAGAGUGGAAUAUCAUUUAUGACAAGUUGGAUAAAUGUGUAAAGAGUGGUGCCAAAGUUGUUUUGUCUAGACUCGCUAUUGGUGAUCUGGCCACACAGUAUUUUGCAGACCGAGAUAUAUUCUGUGCUGGUCGUGUCUCUGAAGAGGAUCUGCAGCGGGUAGCUGCUGCUGCUGGUGGAACAGUGCAGACAACUGUGAACAAUGUUAUUGAUGAGGUUCUUGGCUCUUGUGAGAUUUUUGAGGAGAAGCAAGUUGGAAAUGAGAGAUUCAAUAUAUUUAGUGGAUGUCCCUCUGGCAAGACCGCCACUAUUGUCCUUCGUGGUGGAGCAGAUCAGUUCAUUGAGGAA
rnacentral:misc_RNA from 1 species